AGCCAAAGGAGUGGUAUCCUUCUGGAUGGAGAUUGCAUUCUUCUUGAGCUGUUAUGGGAAGGGGCGCUUUAGGAGACAGCGAUGCACGAACCUUGGCUAACACUGAGAAAAACUGCUGUAUGGUGAACCACCCUGCUUCCUAACUGUGCCUCCCAUUCAAUGAUCAUCUAUGAAGCUAGCCAAGAGGCUGUGUCUAUGUGGGAUGGCUGUGAGCAAGUGUGAACCUUUCCCCUGAGGUCAGGAAGCUUUGAAUAAAGCCUUAGGCAAACAGGAGCUGCCUGUGACCACUGAUCACACCUCUGAGAAUGGAAAGGGCUCCCUCAAAAGCUGUCCCAGUGGGGACCAAAUCUCAGAGGAUCUUUGUCCCAUUUGGAUCUAGAGGCAAGAGGGUUGCAACGUGAUAUCUGUAACAAGACAGAAGUCAAAAAUGCAGAGAUCUGUGCAGGUUAGUACAUGAGAUGGCUCUGCAUGUGAAUUAUUCCUGUUCAGCAGCAGCUCUAACAGCUUUCUUUUGAUGCUUAAAGACAAAUGUAAUAAGAAGAUGAGCUGAAAAUGACGACUGCUGUCUCAAUAAGCUGCAGAAGCUCCACUAAUGUGGUUCAUUGGAACAUACUUUUUCCCUAUCUCUAAAACAGCUAUGGUUGCACUGAGCACCACAGCACCCUGAAUGCGUGCCUGUGUCUCCAGCAGGCUCAGCACCUUAGCAGUCUCCCCCAUGAGUAGACAGCGGCUGCUUCUUGAGAGUGUUUCACCGAAUGACAAAGCACGGGAUUGCAUAAUAUAUCUUCAGCAUGUCUCUGGGAAGGUCACUGAUAACCUGUGUUUCAGCCCAUUCCUCCUGCUGUUUGGAGUACACGUCUGCUGUGCACGCUGUAAAUGAGGAGCCCACUUUAUGCACGGAGAACAAGGGAUCUGAUGAAUGGCAAAGAGGCAUAAUUUAUAGGGAAGUAACCUGAGAAACAGCACUGAAAUCUUUUCACCCAUAAAUAAUGUGCCUUUUCACGUGAUUUUUGAAGAUCUGAGUCUUGUGGUGAAGCACGCUAUGUUGAAAUUCCUCCCUGUGUUACCUUGGUGGACUUCUCAUGGCAGAGGCAACCCAAGCUUUGCGAUGCCUUUGGAUGGAAAUGCAGAAUUGAAAUACAGAAGAGCAGCCCUUUGUUGAAAAUUGCUGCUCAAAACAGAAGAAAAAAUCCUGGGCUAAAGCAGAGGCCCUGUGGGACUUUCUGCCCUGAGCCUGCUUUGUCAGAGCUGAUGGCAGCAGCCUGGGUGCAUGGAAGGCCCAGAUCUCAUGCCCUCAGAGCCCUUUCCUUGGCUGUUUUUAUUAAUCUUCUCUUGUAAAGCUCCUCCUUGUUAUAAGCUCCAGCUCUGGCUUCUCAUUAAUUGCUGCUUAAGAACCGGACUGGUGGUUUGGACAAUUAAUAGCCUAAUAAGUGAAGGAGCCUUUCACCUCAGGGUAAGAAAUUCAAAUCCAACCCACAGCAGUAAUCUGGGGAAAUCAUUAGCUCCAGAUGGCUCACCGACAGCCAGAUAAACUGUGGCGGGGACCCUCCUGCCCUCCUUUCUGCAUAAGGCGCCAUGUCAGUACAUCCCCUGUGGCCACAGGGCAUGGGCUGAUCCAGGUGAGAGAACAGCUCCUCAGCCCAGUGUCUGGUGGUGGGGUGAUGCUAAUUUGUUCCCUUUGCUUGAAAUGAACCCUGCACAACUCCGAUGAGGUGGAUGGAGGAGAUCGUGGUUUCAGCCGCCUGUUCAUCUCCCUUGGAAAGUCAAAAGCCAUUUAUCUGGCACACUCAUAUUCAGACCAAAGUCUUACUUCUUAUGCAGCUUAAAUUAAAUUUUAGCUUGGCGUUACUUAUCUUCUGUGGCCCAAAUUAAUCUCUUUCUUUUAGUUAUCUGUAGUAUGAUUGCAGAGAGAAUUCAGUGCUGGUGGAAGUGACUGAAUUCACAGCGAUGGAGAUGGAGACAUCCAUCUCAUGCAGCAGCUGUCUGAAGGACUGCUACAGGACCAUGCACUGCCCUUCAUCUGCUCCCAGGCAGGGCCAGGGAACCUGCUUAUGUCACCCCAUGGAGCAUUUCCCAUAGACAUCAUCUGCAGACGCUGUCAACAACAGCUCACAAUUUCAUUCUUGCAUCUACAAUGCUGGAUGCGUGGGGAUUUAAUGAGAAAUUCAAUCAUCAUCCCAAAGCCUAAACUGUGUUUAAAAUAUGUUUCCGCCCUGCCCUGCCAUCUUGCUUCUGUUUAGCGUGUAGACAGCUCUAUGCAGAUGGGAAUCAAACUGGCAGACUCCUCGGUGCCCUCUGCAUCCCUCGACCCGAGUCAGAGCCUUUGCAGCAGGAAAAAAUGCAGGUCUUUGCCUCAAUUUGCAGAGCAGAUUUUUAGAGCAAACCUGUCAUCACCAGUGCCCUAAGCUGAUAAUGUGUAUGGUGAGCACGGGGAGGUUAAGAUGAGGACAUCUGGUUUGUUCUAUUUCUGGUACAAGAACAAUAUCCACCCGUCAAGGGGGGGAGGGCAGAGAGUUCAGCAUGGUGGCAUCUCUAGCCAGCUAAAUACAACUAGGCUCAUGAGUCAGUUGUCUUUCUAGCGUGGCAUCAGACAAAUAUCUGUAGCAUACAAAGGGUCCUUUGUUUCUAUUUUAAGAGCUGUGUGAACAGAGCUAGAAUACUGCAGCUAUUUUCCACUAUGGUUUAUUCCUCCACACAGUUAGAGUCUGCUCUGAUCAGGCAACAAAAUCCCAGGCUUGGAAGAAUCCUCUCUUCAUGAUCAGUAACUUCUGCUGAGAGCAAAGCAAGAUCAGCUGGACCUGCCAUGGCUCAGCCUCAAUGGCAGAGUACCUCUGGCCUGGAGAGAAAGAAGCUCCAGAUCUGGUGAGGGAUUUAGUAGCACAGAGUACUUCGGUUACCUUCACCGCUGACUGACCAUGUUCACGAGUUUGCAGGAUGGACGUCAGGCUGAGCUUUCUCUCCCUCUUAGCACCAGACAGAAGGUAUGUGCAUCCGAGGCAAAGACACCUGUAUGUAUGGCGUGCAUCAGAAGACAUAUGGAAGCAGUCUUUAGUUUCAUGUGACAAUUAAUUGCCUUUGGAUGAGCUGAAGCCAAAAGCCACUAUUGGAAAUAUGGGAAAUCACAAAGCAUCAUAGAAUCAUGAAUCAUCGAAUGGUGUAGAUUGGAAGGGACCUUAAAGACCACUGAGUUUCAACCUCCUACCAUGGGCAGGUUGCCCCCCACCAUCUCAGGCUGCCCAGGGCCCCAUCCAGCCUGGACCUGAGCACCUCCAGGGAUGGGACACCCACAGCUCUCUGGGUAGCAGUGCCAGGGCCCCACCACUCUCCAAAUAAGAAAACAUCCUUGGCCACAGAUUUGCCAUGACUUUGAGGAAGUCACUUCAUCUGACAUCAGCACCACAAGCAACGAAGCCCUCACUGGUAUUGCAUUAAUCUUCAAUCAAAACUUCACAUAAGGAUUACAGGAAUAAACUACUGCAGCAAGAGAAUAUUCUUCAUCUGGAUGACCCCUUUGUUCCACAAGUGUGCAUUAUCGGCAUUUUCACAUCUGUUCAUCACUUGGAGCAACUUUCUUUUGUCCCUUAGUUAGCUCAAGCAUCCACUUCCCCCUCCCAUGCUCCUCCACACCAUACAUUUUUUUUUAAAUCUAAAUACAUUUUCUAAAGUUUAUGACAUGCUGUGUAAUUAAAAUCAAGUUGGCAAAAAAAAAAAGAACUGUUUCAUCCACUACAGCUCUUUUCAUUCUAUAAUCCUCCAGCUGGAGUGCAGGUGGGGAAUUUGAAGUGCUCUCGUACUCAGUGGCAACAGCAAGGCCAAGGUCAUGGACAUGACUAAUGACACUGAAUGUUCGCUGUGACCUUUCUUGUGGCAGCCCAACUUUCAGAAGCUUUACACGAUGCUUUCUGACAAUGAGAUCUCAUAGGAUAUUUUCUAUGAGCAUCCCAAAAUCAGAAAUCACUUCUGCAAGUUGUGACUUCUGCACUCACACUGGGGAUUGCACAGGAAAGGUAUAAACUGCUCAGCACUUCC
ensembl:lncRNA